UUUUUUUUUUUUUUUUUUUUCUUUUCUUUUUUCUUCCCUUUCCUUCCUUUCUUUUUGGUUUAGAGAAGCCCUUUCAAUAUUUCCUUUAACCUGGGUUUUGUGUUGCUGUAUUCUUUAAGUUUUUGUUUGUUGGGAAAAAUUUUUAUUUCCCCUUCUAUUUUAAAUGAUAUUCUUGCUGGAUAGAGUAUUCUAGGUUGCAUAUUUUUUCCUUUGAGCACUUUAAAUAUCUCUUGCCAUUCCCUCCUGGCCUGUAGUGUUUCUGUAGAGAAAUCAGCUGAUAUUCUUAUGGGGGUUCCCUUGUAGGUAACAUUCUGUUUUUCUCUUGCUGCCUUUAGGAUCCUCUCUUUAUCACUAACUUUUGCCAUUUUUAUUAUGAUGUGUCUUGGUGUGGGUCUGUUUGGGUUCAGUUUGUUUGGGGCCCUCUGUGCUUCUUGUAUCUUGAAUCCAGUAUCCUUUAGAUUUGGGAAGUUUCCAGCGAUAAUUUCUUCAAAUAUAUUUUCCAUUCCCUUAUCUUUUUCUACUCCUUCUGGAAUUCCUAUUAUGCGUAGAUUGGCCCGCUUUAUAUUAUCCCAUAGGUCUCUUAUAUUGCUUUCCAGUUUUUUGAUUCGGUUUUCUGUCUGUUGACCAGAUUGAGUGAUUUCCAUUAUUCUAUCUUCCAUAUCACUGAUUCGUUCUUCUGCAUUAUUCAUUCUGGUUUUUACUGCCCCUAGUUCAGUUUGCAUCUCUGCAAAUGAAUGUUCUAGUUUUUCUUGGCUCCUCCUUAUAUUUUCUAGUUCCUUUCUGAGGGUAUCUGCAUUACUGUUCAUAUCUUCUCUUAAUUCCUUCAGUAUUUUCACUAUUUCUCUUUUGAACUCCAGGUCUGUCUGACUGCAGAGAUCUGUUUCAUUGUUGACUGUUUUAGGUGAGUUCUCCUGUUGGUUUGACUGGGGGUGGUUUCUCAGCUUCUUCAUCUUGCUUGUUGUUUUCUUUCUCCUGAGGGAGUUGUACUCUCCGUUAUCGGGCAGUGUUUGCCUUGUCACUGCCGUGGAAUAUUUCCUGAGGGCUGGCGUUGUUGGUCAAUCUUUUUUGAGGCAGUGUGGCUUUUCUGGAGUGUUGAUGGGGCUAACAGUGUUUCUUUGAAGCAAAGGAGGACUUCCUGAGGGCAGACAGGACUGGGAGGUCCACACCACGAUGGUAGCAGAUUUCACUUGCCCCUGGGGGCUUGGGCGGGUAGCAGGGCCGUUGGAGACCCAAGAGGCUCCUCCCCAGGGCAGCCCGACUCAGAAAAACCGUCUGAGAUCUUUUCCCGACUCGGCCAGGCUUGUUGCAGCUUUUCUGGGCUGCAGGGGGUCCUGCCUGGAGCUGGCAGUCCUAUGCAGCUGGUCCACUAGGUCUCAGCACCCCCUGGGGUCUUGGGCGGGUAGCAGGGCCCUUGGAGACUCAAGAGGCUCCUCCCCAGGACAGCCCGACUCAGAAAGACCGUCUGAGAUCUUUUCCCAAUUCGGCCAAGCUUGUUGCAGCUUUUCUGGGCUGCAGGGGCUCUUCCAGGGGGCUGGUGGUGCUGAGCAGCUAUUCCGUGGGAGUGGGGCACCCCCUGAGGGCUUGGGUGGCUAGCAGGGCUGUUGGAGACCCAAGAGGCUCCUCUCCAGGGCAGCCCGACUGAGAAAGACCGUCUGAGAUCUUUUCCUGGCUCGGCCAAGCUUGUUGCAGGUUUUCUGGGCUGCAGGGGGUCCUGCCUGGAGCUGGCUGUCCUAUGCUGCUGGUCCACUAGGUCUUGGCACCCCCUGGGGGCUUGGGAAGGUAGCAGGGACACUGGAAACACAAGAGGCUCCUCCUCAGGGCAGCCUGACUCAGAAAGACCGUCUGAGGUCUUUUCCCGACUCAGCCAGGCUUGUUGCAGCUUUUCUGGGUUGCAGGGGGUCCUGCCUGGAGCUGGCAGCCCUAUGCAGCUGGUCCACUAGGUCUCGGCACCCCUUGGGGUCUUGGGCAGUUAGCAGGGCCGUUGGAGACCCAAGAGGCUCCUCCCUGGGGCAGCAUGACUCAGAAAAACCAUCUGAGAUCUUUUCCCGACUCAGCCAGGCUUGUUGCAGUUUUUCUGGGCUGCAGGGGGUCCUGCCUGGAGCUGGCAGUCCUAUGCAGCUGAUCCACUAGGGCACCCCCUGGGGGCUUGGGCGGGUAGCAGGGCCGCUGGAAACCCAAGAGGCUCCUCCCCGGGGCAGCCCGACUCAGAAAAACCAUCCGAGAAUCAGGCUAGGCUUGUUCUAGCUUUUCUGGGCUGCAGGCCUUUUCUAGGGGGCUGGUGGUGUUUGGUGCUGCUCUGCGGAAGUGUAGCCCCUCCAAAGGGCAAGCAGGCCUGUGCAGGGACAGCCCCUGCGGUGGUAGGCUUCAGGCAAUUGUUGAGGCCAGCCCUCCCGGAUGGCAGGCAGCCCCAGGUUCAGCGAGAGCAUAGGGGGUGGCGGGGGUGGGGGAAGGGGAUGCACUGGGAAGCACAGCUUUCUGCUAGCUAGCGGGCCUGUAAGCUUGCUGUGGCGUGGGGGGUAUUCUAUGGGGACCCACCCCUUCUUCUCUCCCCUCCCCAGCACGGGCGCAGACCAGGCUCUUCUCCCAGGUUCCCUCUGAGGCGGCUUUCCACUUCCCCGCCCCUAGAGUAUUGCUCCCUUCCUCUGCGACAGCUUUGUUUUCUAGUCUCCCAGGCAGUCUCUGCCCCGUCAAAUGGUUUAGAGACCUCCCAAGCAGUUUCCGCUCUUCCCCGCCCCCCUAGCCCGGGGACUAAUCUCUGGAGCCGAGGUCUCGGUGCCCAGCCCCCACCCAGGCGUCCCCCGGCCCUUUCUUGGGGACUAACCUUCGGAGGCGAGGUCUCGGUGCCCAGCCCCCACCCAGGCGUCCCCCGGCCCCCUCUCGGGGACCAACCUUCAGAGCUGAGGUCUCGGUGCCCAGCCCCCACCCAGGCGUCCCCCGGCCCUUUCCCGGGGACUAACCUCUGGAGCCGAGGAUUCGGUGCCCAGCCCCCACCCAGGCGUCUCAAUUUUUGGUGACUGUGCCCGUAGUUCAGAUGGUCCGUUCGGUUCUUGAUCGGAUUUUCCGUACUCCAACUUACUGCUACACUCUUCUCUGCAUCUGAAGAUUCCUCCGGUUCGUUUGAUCUUUCCCCCUUGUAGGUGACCUUCCAGGGUGCGGGAUCCCUUUCUCCUCUGCAGUUCCCUUUCGGGAGUGCCCGUCCCGCUCGGAUUCACCUUCUCUCACUCUCCUCUUUUCUCCCCGUUCUGCCCAGUAAUGUCACGAACUUCUUGCCGUUAUUGGAGUUUAGGUUCCUCUGCCAGCGAUUGGUUGCUGUUCUGUGCGAGUCAUUUAUUCUGUAGAUGUGCUUUUUUUGUUGUGUUUGUGGGAGAGGGCAAGCGUGUCCCCCUACUCCUCUGCCAUCUUGUCCUC
rnacentral:lncRNA from 1 species